ACGAGUUAGGGCCUCUGGCCCGAACCUCCAACCCUUUGUAUCAAAACCUCGUUGCCUCGGGGAGGCCCUGCCUCACGGCUGGCCCCCCGAUGGACCACUAAACUCUGCAACUGUAUGACGUCUGAGUAAAGAUUUUAAAUUAAAUCA
rnacentral:misc_RNA from 1 species